rnacentral:lncRNA from 1 species
AUAAUUGACUAACUAUAUUCACUAGAUCAAUAUUUUACUUUUGUGAGUUUCUCUACCAAGACAAUAAAGUUAGACAUAUGAAUGGAGUGAUGACUGAUGACAAAACAUGAUUAAAGAAACAACUCGUGGCAAACAAUCAUACUGUGUUUCAACUUUUGGCAGAUGAGGACUGGUGAAUUUCUAUUGUGUUGUGUUAAUGAUGCAGCCAAGGAUUUUUGUAGACUAUGCUAUGAUGUAAUCUUGAAUAAAUGACCGUUGGUUUGCCUCAAGUAGUGUUGUGGCCCAGGCAGAGUCCAGUGGAAUUCAAUAUCUUUUUUUUUACUAUUCUCACACUCUAGAAAACUUGGACAUGCAAUUGUAAGUGAUAUAGGUUAGUUCAUGAUAAUUUUGCACUGACUUAACGUAAUCUUGGAUAUACCCUAUUUUGUUUUGUUCUUUUUUUUUUUGUUUAAACCCUAUUUUGUUAUACCGAUUGAUUUUAAACACUACCUAAACGGAAUGGUAAGAUCGUAAAAGUAACUUUUUAGUUACCAGAAAAAUAAGAUUUUCAUCUAAUAUUCUUUUAUUUUGAUUUAAAAAACUAAAAGCAAGUUCCUAAGAGCAUCUCCAAUCUCACUCUAUUUUUCACUCUAAAAUAGAGUUUAGAGUAAAAAAUGCUCCAAUGGUACUAUAUUUCUCACUCUAUAAUAGAGUGACAAAUAGGUUUACUCCAAAUAUAGAGUAAAUUUUUUUUUUUGUUCAUCACUCUAUUUUCUACUCUAAAAUAGAAUAUUAUUGGAGCAAACUCAAACUCUAUUAUAGAAUUACUCUAUUUUAGAGUAAAAAAUAGAGUAAACCAUUGGAGAUGGUCAUCAUUAAGCUAUCUUAUCCAACUACCUCGUAUUAAAACUUAA